AUUUUACUUAUCAUGGUCUUCGUUGCACGUCUAUCUGAUUAGACUUAAAAAUAUCCUAUGAGACAAAAGCAAGGAUAUCCUAUCAGCGUUUUUAUUUGCGAGAAAUAUUCACACUCCACUAUCUUAUAAGGAGUAACAAACCGCGUGGUAUAGUACUCCAUCGAUUUCUGAUUGGUCGAGUCUAUCACGUGGCUUUGUUUAUAAACAACACAAUUGCCCACGUGGCUUCUCGUAUCGACAAGUGACCUGCGGUUUCUCAACAGUGUGUCCGUUUACCUGUGCAGUAUACCGACCUUGGACCCAGGAAUAGAUGAUGGAUUGGGCUGCAUUCUUUAGAUUUUCACAAAAGCGAGAGAUCUGCAAGAAGGGGAAAAGUCAUCUUUAUGAUAUCGUGCUUGUCACGCCGGGAUGACAACAGCGUCUAGCGAUACCAUACCUGACUAGUUUAAUUAUCCUGAGUGUGAAGCUUUAUUAGAAAAUUGCAGAUUAAUUAUUCGUUGGAUGUGUGGUGUUAGUGUAUGAAAUAAAUCUUCAAAAUGU
rnacentral:sRNA from 1 species